UACGUAGGGGGCAAGCGUUGUCCGGAUUUAUUGGGCGUAAAGCGCGUGUAGGCGGCCAGGUAGGUCCGUUGUGAAAGCCCCGAGCUCAACUUGGGAAUUGCAGUGGAUACUGGCAGGCUGGAGUACGGUAGAGGAAGGUGGAAUUCCCGGUGUAGCAGUGAAAUGCGUAGAGAUCGGGAGGAACACCAGUGGCGAAGGCGGCCUUCUGGACCAGUACUGACGCUCAUGCACGAAAGCGUGGGGAGCAAACAGG
rnacentral:rRNA from 1 species